AUGGCAAAGCAGCUCAGGGACCUGAAGGCUGACCCACGGCUGCAGGUAGCUGGGGUCCAGUGGGUGGAAGGUGGAUCCGCCCACAGCAAGCCCACAGGGACUUUGGAGUGGGGCGGGGACACAGCCUCCGUCCACAGCCCAUCCGUCUACCUCUUGCACUCCUGUUGCACAAGUGCUACCAACGCCACCUCUGUGACGCUGGGCUGCCUGGUCACGGGCUACUUCCCGGCGCCAGUGACCAUUACCUGGGACACAGCAUCCCUGAACAGGAGUACGCUGACCAUCCCUGCCGUCCAAAACUUGAACUCCAGCCUCUACACCACCAGCAGCCAGGUGACAGUCUCGGGCGAGUGGUCCAAGCAGAAGUUCACCUGCAGCGUGGCUCACGCUGCGUCCAGCACCACCACCACCAAGGCCAUCACUGGGUGCACCAAGAGCUUCACCAACCCCUCCGUGAAGCUCUUUUACUCCUCCUGCGACCCCCGUGGUGACACCCAUACCACCAUCCAGCUCCUAUGCCGCAUCUCCGGCUACACCCCAGGCAGAAUCAAGGUCACCUGGUUGGUGGACGGGCACGAGGUCACGGACGCGUUCCCGCACACCGGCCCCGAAAGGGUGGAGGGCAAACUGGCCUCCACCUACAGCGAGCUCAACAUCACGCAGGGCCAGUGGGUGUCCCAAAUCACCUACACCUGCCGGGUCACCUAUUAUGGCUUCACCUAUGACAACCACGCCCGCAGAUGCACAGCCGAGUCCGAGCCCCGUGGCGUGAGCGCCUACCUGAGCCCACCCACGCCCCUCGACCUGUACGUCAACAAGUCACCCAAGAUCACCUGCCUGGUGGUGGACCUGGCCAGCGCAAAGGACAUGACACUGACCUGGUCCAGGGAGAACGAGAAUCUAACGUACUCAGACCCGCUCGUCGUCGAGACUCAGUUCAACGGGACGGUCACCGUCACGUCCACCCUGCCGGUGGACGUCAGUGACUGGAUUGAGGGCAAGACCUACUCCUGCAAAGUGAACCACCCACACCUACCCAAGGAGAUCCUGCGCUCCAUCUCCAAGAGUCCUGGCCAGCGUAUGAUUCCCGAGGUCUACGUGUUCCCGCCACCCAAGGAGGAGCUCCAGACCAAGGGCGAGGUCACCCUCACCUGCCUGAUCCAGAACUUCUUCCCCGCGGACAUCUCCGUGCGGUGGCUGCGGAACGGCGCCCUGAUGCAGGCGGACCAGCACACCAGCACGAGGCCCCACAAGGUCCGCAGCUCCAUUUCCGCCUACUUCAUCUACAGCCACCUGGUGGUCAAGCAGGCUGACUGGGGGCAGAAGAGCAAUUUCACCUGCCAAGUGGUCCACGAGGCACUGUCCGGCUCAAGGACCCUCGAGAGAUCGAUGUCCAUUGACCUUGAGCUGGCCCUGGAGGAGCCGUGCGCAGAGGAGGCCGAGAGCGACGGGCCGGAGGGGAUGUGGACCGGCCUCCUCACCUUCGCGGUGCUCUUCCUGCUCAGCGUGAGCUACGGCGCAGCCGUCACCCUCUGCAAGGUGAAGCGGGUCCUGGCUGCCGUCCCGCAGGAGCAGCCGCAGGCUUCCCGCAACUACACGAACGUGGCACAGCCCUGCCUUCUCCCUCCUCGUGGGAGUGUCCCCGAGGCUGCCAGCUCCACCCUGGGCCAGAGGAAGGAGCAGACCAGCCCCCAAGGGUCCAGAGUGCUCGUCAGUCUCAACGACAGUGUCCGCUCGGGCUCAGGCCCUCUCCCCAACCGCUGCGACCGCCAGGCCGUGCAAGAGCCCCCCUCCGUCCGUCUCAAGUCCGAGCCCUCCUUUCUGGCCCGCGUUCCGCGCCGCCCCAACGCUCACCCCGAGCCCCAUGCCUCCAGCUCCCUCGGGGCGGCUCCAGGGGACACUGGGGCUUCGGAACCCCGGAACGUGCAGAGCUCCAGGACCUCACGGGCCGGCAAGAGGAAGGGUGCUCAGGGCCAGCCAACCGCGAUGCAGGCGCCGCCGGCGCUCCUGAGAGCGGCGGGCGUGGAGUGGACCAGAGUCCGGCAGCCCGGGAGGAAGUGCCCCUCGUGGGCAGUGCUGUGGGUGUGCCAGGGUCCGUGA